CAGGCCUAACCAUGCAAGUCGUACGAGAAGGGGACUUCNGGUCCCCGGNUAAAGUGGCGACGGGUGAGUAACACGUAGGUAACCUACCCCUGGGCGGGGGAUAACGUUCGAAAGGAGCGCUAAUACCGCAUGAGACCACGACCUGAAAUGGUUGGGGCAAAGUGGGCCUCUUCAUAAAAGCUCACGCCUGGGGAUGGGGCUGCGGCCAUCAGGUUGUUGGUAGGGUAACGGCCUACCAAGCCAAAGACGGGUAGCGGUCUGAGAGGAUGAUCAGCCACACUGGAACUGAGACACGGUCCAGACUCUACAGGAGGCAGCAGUGGGGAAUCUUGCGCAAUGGGCGAAAGCCUGACCAGCGACGCCGCGUGAGUGAUGAAGGCCCUAGGGUUGUAAAGCUCUGUGAGAGGGACGAAUAAGCAAUGGCUAAUAUCCAUUGUGAUGACGGUACCUCNUAGCAAGCACCGGCUAACUCUGUGCCAGCAGCCGCGGUAAU
rnacentral:rRNA from 1 species